UGAGGAAUAUUGGGCAAUGGACGCAAGUCUGACCCAGCCAUGCCGCGUGCAGGAUGAAGGCGUUCUGCGUUGUAAACUGCUUUUAUCUGGGAAGAAACCUGAGUAUUCUUAUUCAGCCGACGGUACCAGAUGAAUAAGCACCGGCUAACUCCGUGCCAGCAGCCGCGGUAAUACGGAGGGUGCAAGCGUUAUCCGGAUUCACUGGGUUUAAAGGGUGUGUAGGCGGAUAUUUAAGUCAGUGGUGAAAUCUCUGGGCUCAACCCGGAAACUGCCAUUGAUACUAUUUAUCUUGAAUUCUGUUGAGGUGGGCGGAAUACAUCAUGUAGCGGUGAAAUGCUUAGAUAUGAUGUAGAACACCGAUUGCGAAGGCAGCUCACUAAACAGCGAUUGACGCUGAGGC
rnacentral:rRNA from 1 species